rnacentral:rRNA from 1 species
GACGAACGCUGGCGGCGUGCCUAAUACAUGCGAGUAGAACGCUGAAGGAGGAGCUUGCUUCUCUGGAUGAGUUGCGAACGGGUGAGUAACGCGUAGGUAACCUGCCUGGUAGCGGGGGAUAACUAUUGGAAACGAUAGCUAAUACCGCAUAAUAGUAGAUGUUGCAUGACAUUUGCUUAAAAGGUGCAAUUGCAUCACUACCAGAUGGACCUGCGUUGUAUUAGCUAGUUGGUGAGGUAACGGCUCACCAAGGCGACGAUACAUAGCCGACCUGAGAGGGUGAUCGGCCACACGGGGACUGAGACACGGCCCAGACUCCUACGGGAGGCAGCAGUAGGGAAUCUUCGGCAAUGGACGGAAGUCUGACCGAGCAACGCCGCGUGAGUGAAGAAGGUUUUCGGAUCGUAAAGCUCUGUUGUAAGAGAAGAACGAGUGUGAGAGUGGAAAGGUCACACUGUGACGGUAUCUUACCAGAAAGGGACGGCUAACUACGU